rnacentral:lncRNA from 1 species
AUGAGAUGAGGUCAUGAAGAGGAGGAUGUGAUUGAAAUGAGUUUGUAAGAUAUUAAACCCGACCCGACUGGUCCAAACUAAACGCGGGUCAAACAAAAAGUUGGAAAGCUCGGUUUUGAUUAGGGGCGUAAACAAGCCCAGAGGCUCGAGAGCUACUCGUUAUCGUCUUGGUUAAAAGUUCGAACGAGCCCAAGCUCGAGCCUGAAAUAAUGCUCGCUUAGUUAUCGAACCCGAGCUCGAGCCUGAAAUACAAAGCUCGUUUAGACUCAAGAGCCUAAACGAGCCCGAACAAAAAUUUAUUUAGUUUAUAUAUAAUAUAAUAAUAGUGAUGAUAACAUUGUCGAGCCGAGCUCGAGCCAAGCUAUGUCUCGUUUAAGCGAUCUUGAAGCGAGUUCGAGUCGAGUAUUUAGUUCGUCUAAGGUUGUUCUCAAAAUAACUCGAGUCGAGUCGAACCGAGCUCGAGCUUUGGGUUUUACUCGCGAGUCGAGUUCGAGCUCAAAUAAGUAGGCUCGAACUGAUCCGGGCUCAAGCUCAAGCUUCAUAAAAACAUGACGAGCCGAGCUCGAGCCCAGUCGAGCUCGGGCUCGGCUCGGCUCGUUUACACCCCUAGUUUUGAUGGUUUCACGAUUUUUUUUAAAUUAUUAGUAUUUUGAUUAAGAUUAUAAUUGUUUUUUAAGAGGUAAACAGUCACCGAACCACAUCUGUAGAAGAAGUGGAUCAACCUCUAAAAAGAAAGUUGGUUGUUUUUUAACGUAUGUAAACUUCUAAAAUAAAGUGGUG